rnacentral:rRNA from 1 species
UACGUAGGUGACCAGCGUUGUCCGGAUUUACUGGGCGUAAAGAGCGCGCAGGCGGUCGUUCAAGUCGAGUGUGAAAGCCCCCGGCUCAACUGGGGAGGGUCAUUCGAUACUGAUCGACUCGAAGGCAGGAGAGGGAAGCGGAAUUCCCGGUGUAGUGGUGAAAUGCGUAGAUAUCGGGAGGAACACCAGUGGCGAAAGCGGCUUCCUGGUCCAGCACCGACGUUCAGGCACGAAAGCGUGGGGAGCAAACAGG